UAUACCAUACUUAAUUUUAGUUGUUAAAGUUUACUGGUCACAUUGUUAUGGCCUAUCUCCAGAAUCCUAUCAUAUGGGUGCACAAGUAGUUGACUCUGUGGUUGAUGGGUGCUGUGCACUCCUUACUAGGGUUAACAGCCACUCUCUAGUUCUUUAUGGCCUUACUAAUUUAUAUAGCUUUCCAAAAAGUUGUUGGGAGGAUGUCAAAAUCUUAAUAAUUUUGAAGUGUGUGUGUGUGUGCACGUGUGCAUGUGUGUGUGUGUGUGUGUGUGUGUGUGUGUGUGUUUGUACUAGGGAUUGAACCUAAGGCACUGUGGAUGUCACCACUGUAUCCUGAACUAUUCUAUUUAUGUUUUGUUUUGAAAAAAAUGUCCUCUAAAUUACUCAGGUUAGCUGUGAUUUUAUUCUGUAGCCCUGGCUGGCCUUGAACUUUAAUCCCCCUCCUUUAGUCUCCUGCAUAGUUGUGGUUAACAGCUUGUUUCACUUAAUAUGGUCAAUCUUGUAUCUUUCUUUCUUUUUCUAUAAUUCAGUAAUUUUUAAUGAAUGUAUCAAGCCAUACAAUCAUGAGCACAGUUCAUUUCUAGAUCAUGCCUGUCACCUCCAUGGACUCCUGUACAGUUGUGGAAGGGCACUGAUCGUCAGCUCAGUCUGUGAUCGCCGCAUGUUUCAAGGUCCAUUGGACACCUACUCACCCUGCAUCCACCUGUGAGGCCGAAUGCAUUGGGUACUUGUGGCCAUGUCUACAAGUUGAAGUUGAUUUGGGAGACACGGUGAAUGUGGGAAGGACAAAUUUCCAUCCAGAAAAGUGAAUCAGUCACAUGAACAGCCAUAUGAUCCUAUUGCUGUUUCUUGAACAAACCAAACCUGGCUCUGCACCUGGCUCACUUCAUACCCAUUCCACUUGCAGGACUGUCUUCUUGCUCCCUGAAAUCUGGAUCAAGGUAACACUUGACCUUCCCAACUUAAUAGUGCCUGUCCCAUCCUUUCCCCCUCAUCUGUUCCUUCCCGACCACAGUACCACUGACCCUAUACUCUGCUCUUCAUGUUAAGUUCAUUGUUUUUUGUCACAGCAAUGGUAAUUAUUAUCUCCUUAAGGGAUCUUGGGUGCUUUGCUCAAUGGCUCUGUCACUGUCUCCUUACUGGGAAUAAUAUCUAGUGUAUAUGACAGACAUGCUCCCGAACAUUUGGUGACUAAAUUCAAUGAUAAUUUUCAGGUCAUUGGCCUGGCUUCUACCUACCUUACUUUGAAGAUUUAAAGUUUGUAUUCCUGAAUAGCUGGGUAUUUUUCCUUGUCUUUUUUCCUCUUUCUAUUUCUGUGGCCUCCAGGCAGGUGCUGAGCUUCCACAAGGCUUGGGGAUCCCACAGAGACAUAGAAGGAUGGUAAUUAUGUGCAUGGUGCACAGGGGCUGACUAUUCAGAUGUCCUAGUCUGAAAGACAAUGAGCAGGCUGCACCAAACCCUGGAGCAAAUUAACACACGCAGGGUCCCUCUAGAGUUCAGUGCAAAUGACUUGCUGUUGGAGGUCAGAGGACCUGUUUAUUGAAUAAGCCUCACAGCCCCUAGGCAGCACCUCUCUGGAUGGCCAGCAGCAUAUAGGGGAGGUGCAAAUAAAUCACAGACAAACCUCUGCCUUCA
rnacentral:lncRNA from 1 species